UACGUAGGUGGCAAGCGUUGUCCGGAUUUACUGGGCGUAAAGAGCGCGCAGGCGGUCGUUCAAGUCGCGUGUGAAAGCCCCCGGCUCAACUGGGGAGGGUCACUCGAUACUGAUCGACUCGAAGGCAGGAGAGGGAAGUGGAAUUCCGCGUGUAGCAGUGAAAUGCGUAGAUAUCAGGAGGAAUACCGAUGGCGAAGGCAGGUCUCUGGGCUGACACUGACGCUCAUGCACGAAAGCGUGGGGAGCAAACAGG
rnacentral:rRNA from 1 species